AUUGAACGCUGGCGGCAGGCCUAACACAUGCAAGUCGAACGAGUGGCGGACGGGUGAGUAAUGUCUGGGAAACUGCCCGAUGGAGGGGGAUAACUACUGGAAACGGUAGCUAAUACCGCCUACCAUCGGAUGUGCCCAACUGGGAUUAGCUAGUAGGUGGGGUAACGGCGCACCUAGGCGACGAUCCCUAGCUGGUCUGAGAGGAUGACCAGCGACACUGGGACUGAGACACGGUCCAGACUCCUACGGUAGGCAGCAGUGGGGAAUAUUGCACAAUGGGCGCAAUCCUGAUGCAGCCAUGCCGAGUGAAUGAAGAAGGCCUUCGGGUUGUAAAGUGCUUUCAGCGAGGAGGCGUUACUCGCAGAAGAAGCACCGGCUAACUCCGUGCCAGCAGCCGCGGUAAUAC
rnacentral:rRNA from 1 species